rnacentral:misc_RNA from 1 species
AACAAGGCGUACCUGCGGACCUGCGGAGGGAUCAUUACCGAGUUUACAACUCCCAAACCCCUGUGAACAUACCACUUGUUGCCUCGGCGGAUCAGCCCGCUCCCGGUAAAACGGGACGGCCCGCCAGAGGACCCCUAAACUCUGUUUCUAUAUGUAACUUCUGAGUAAAACCAUAAAUAAAUCAAAACUUUCAGCAAUGGAUCU